UAAAAUUUUUUCUUUGAAACAUUGGUACUAUAAAUUAUAAGAGACAGGAGCCAUGUUUUCACAGCUCUGUUUCUUGAGCACCCAGCCCAAUGGUAUUGUGGAGAUGGAAUAACAAUCACCAUGAGCACAGGUCACUGCUGACAAAGGGACUUGCUUUCUCUCUAAACCAUUUGACUUUGUUGGUGCCCAGGGCAGGAUGCUCCAAAAUAUGCCUCAGUGGAAUAUUACUUUGAAUUAAAGUUACUGAAGAAAUGACUGAUGCAAGAGAGACACACUGACCUUCCUAUCUGUCUCCAUGAAAGCAGGAAAUUAGUAUCUCAUGUGAAUGGUGCCCUCCCUGUACCAGGAGGUAGAAAGACAUCAUUAGCACCAGAGAUAGGGAAUGCAGGGUCAAGAAGGCUGUAUAAACCUUGUUACUUCUUUAACUCAAGAAGGUUGGCAGGGACAUUUCUUCCUCCUCAACAGCUGACAAGACAACCAGGAGGCUGGCUAAACCCUGCUUCCCACCACAAGACUGCUGCAGCUGAGAGAUCCUAGGACACAUGACAAAGGCCAGCAGAAGCAAUGCCUCUUAUUAAAUACCUGAUUGUACAGUAAGCUUAACUUCUACUUGGAAAUACUGCUUUGGAAGAGAAAAUUAAGAAAAAAGCAUCAUUAAAAAAAAGACAAGGUUGGGCUUCCCUGGUGGCGCAGUGGUUGAGAGUCCGCCUGCCGAUGCAGGGGACACGGGUUCGUGCCCCGGUCCGGGAAGAUCCCACAUGCCGCGGAGCGGCUGGAGCCGUGAGCCAUGGCCGCUGACCCUGCGUGUCCGGAGCCUGUGCUCUGCAACGGGAGAG